CACUGAAACACCAGGUUCUGUAUGAUCAGAGAAGUUAAGCAACAUCAAGCCUGGUCAGUACCAAUAUGGGUGACUGCUUGAGAAUAUUAGGUGCUGUAA